AACAAAAAGAAUGCUGAGGUGGAGCUCCUAGAGAUUCUAUGCAGUCACUCUGAUGUGGAGAUGAGAGAACCCUCCCCUCCCUAGCCCCUGCAGACACUACUAUCAAGCCAUGCAGACAUGGCGGGGAAUCACAAGCUUGGACAAGAAGCUGGAGACACAGAUGACCCACCAAGAAUUACUCAAAACCCUGUUAUCAACGGGAAUGUAGCCAUGAGUGAUGGGCACAACAACACAGAGGAAGAUAUGGAGGAUGACACGAGUUGGCGCUCCGAGGCCACGUUUCAGUUCACUGUGGAGCGCUUCAGCAGACUGAGUGAGUCGGUCCUUAGCCCUCCGUGUUUUGUGCGAAAUCUGCCAUGGAAGAUUAUGGUGAUGCCACGCUUUUAUCCAGACAGACCACACCAAAAAAGCGUAGGAUUCUUUCUCCAGUGCAAUGCUGAAUCUGAUUCCACGUCGUGGUCUUGCCAUGCGCAAGCUGUGCUGAAGAUAAUAAAUUACAGAGACGAUGAGAAGUCGUUCAGCCGACGCAUUAGCCACUUGUUCUUCCACAAGGAGAAUGAUUGGGGGUUUUCCAAUUUCAUGGCCUGGAGCGAAGUGACUGAUCCUGAGAAAGGAUUUAUAGAUGAUGACAAAGUUACUUUUGAAGUCUUUGUACAGGCGGAUGCUCCCCAUGGAGUUGCGUGGGAUUCAAAGAAGCACACGGGCUAUGUCGGUUUAAAGAAUCAGGGAGCGACUUGUUACAUGAACAGCCUGCUGCAGACUUUAUUUUUCACAAAUCAACUACGAAAGGCUGUGUACAUGAUGCCAACAGAGGGUGAUGAUUCAUCCAAAAGCGUCCCCUUAGCAUUACAAAGAGUGUUCUACGAAUUACAGCACAGCGAUAAGCCUGUAGGAACAAAAAAGCUAACGAAGUCCUUCGGGUGGGAAACUUUAGAUAGCUUCAUGCAGCACGACGUUCAAGAGCUGUGUCGAGUGUUGCUUGAUAAUGUGGAGAAUAAGAUGAAAGGCACGUGUGUGGAGGGCACCAUACCUAAAUUAUUCAGAGGCAAAAUGGUGUCCUAUAUCCAGUGCAAAGAAGUAGACUAUCGAUCUGAUAGAAGAGAAGAUUAUUACGAUAUCCAGCUAAGUAUAAAAGGAAAGAAAAAUAUAUUUGAAUCAUUCGUGGAUUACGUGGCCGUAGAGCAACUAGAUGGUGACAAUAAAUACGACGCCGGGGAACACGGCUUGCAGGAAGCAGAGAAAGGUGUGAAAUUCCUAACUUUGCCACCAGUGUUACAUCUACAGCUGAUGAGAUUUAUGUAUGACCCUCAGACGGACCAAAAUAUCAAGAUCAAUGAUAGGUUUGAAUUCCCAGAACAGUUACCACUCGAUGAAUUUUUGCAAAAAACAGAUCCUAAGGACCCUGCAAAUUAUAUUCUUCAUGCAGUCCUGGUUCACAGUGGAGAUAAUCAUGGUGGACAUUAUGUGGUUUAUCUAAACCCCAAAGGGGAUGGCAAAUGGUGUAAAUUUGACGACGACGUGGUGUCCAGGUGUACGAAGGAGGAGGCCAUCGAGCACAACUACGGGGGGCACGAUGACGACCUGUCUGUGCGGCACUGCACGAACGCAUACAUGCUGGUGUACAUCAGGGAAUCAAAGCUGAGUGAGGUUUUACAAGCUGUCACCGACCACGACAUCCCCCAGCAGUUGGUAGAGCGACUCCAAGAAGAGAAGAGGAUCGAGGCCCAAAAGCGGAAGGAGCGGCAGGAAGCCCACCUCUACAUGCAGGUUCAGAUAGUCGCAGAGGACCAGUUUUGUGGCCACCAGGGAAAUGAUAUGUACGAUGAAGAAAAAGUGAAAUACACUGUGUUCAAAGUAUUGAAAAAUUCUUCCCUGGCUGAAUUUGUGCAGAACCUCUCGCAGACCAUGGGAUUUCCCCAAGAUCAAAUUCGAUUAUGGCCCAUGCAGGCAAGGAGCAACGGAACCAAACGGCCGGCGAUGUUGGAUAACGAGGCAGACGGCAACAAGACGAUGAUUGAGCUGAGUGAUAAUGAAAACCCGUGGACGAUAUUCCUGGAAACCGUUGAUCCAGAGCUGGCUGCCAGUGGAGCCACGUUACCCAAAUUUGACAAAGAUCAUGAUGUCAUGCUAUUUUUGAAGAUGUAUGACCCCAAAACACGGAGCUUAAAUUACUGUGGGCACAUCUACACACCAAUAUCCUGUAAAAUACGUGACCUGCUUCCGGUUAUGUGUGACAGAGCAGGAUUUAUCCAGGAUACUAGCCUUAUCCUCUAUGAGGAAGUUAAACCGAAUUUAACAGAGAGAAUUCAGGACUACGACGUGUCUCUCGAUAAAGCCCUUGAUGAACUAAUGGACGGUGACAUUAUCGUCUUCCAGAAGGAUGACCCUGAGAAUGAUAACAGUGAAUUACCCACUGCAAAAGAAUAUUUCCGAGACCUCUACCACCGUGUUGAUGUCAUUUUCUGUGAUAAAACAAUCCCUAAUGAUCCUGGAUUUGUGGUUACAUUAUCAAACCGAAUGAAUUAUUUUCAGGUCGCAAAGACAGUAGCACAGAGACUCAACACUGACCCCAUGUUGCUCCAGUUUUUCAAGUCUCAAGGCUAUAGGGACGGCCCAGGUAACCCUCUUAGACAUAAUUACGAAGGGACUUUAAGAGAUCUCCUACAGUUCUUCAAGCCUAGACAACCUAAGAAGCUUUACUAUCAGCAGCUUAAGAUGAAAAUCACAGACUUUGAAAACAGACGAAGUUUUAAGUGUAUUUGGUUAAACAGCCAGUUUAGGGAAGAGGAAAUAACACUAUAUCCCGAUAAGCAUGGGUGUGUCCGGGACCUGCUGGAAGAAUGUAAAAAGGCUGUUGAGCUCGGGGAGAAGGCGUCAGGGAAGCUUAGGCUGCUAGAAAUCGUAAGCUACAAGAUCAUUGGUGUGCACCAGGAAGAUGAGCUGCUGGAAUGCUUAUCUCCGGCGACGAGUAGAACGUUUCGAAUAGAGGUAACCGGCCCGUCCUCGCCCUCGUCGGCGUCCUGGCCGGGUGGGACGGCCACCUGCCCGCCUCCUCACGUAUCACCGACUUGCAGACGUGGCCCAAGUGUUUAUGGUACCAGUAGAGGAAAUCCCUUUGGACCAGGUGGACAUAGACAAGGAGAAUGAGAUGCUGGUCACCGUGGCUCACUUCCACAAAGAGGUGUUCGGGACAUUCGGGAUUCCAUUUUUGCUCAGGAUACACCAGGGCGAACAUUUCAGAGAAGUCAUGAAACGGAUUCAGAGUCUGCUAGACAUCCAGGAAAAGGAGUUUGAGAAGUUUAAAUUUGCCAUUGUGAUGAUGGGCCGACACCAGUACAUAAAUGAGGAUGAGUAUGAAGUGAACUUGAAAGACUUUGAGCCCCAACCUGGUAACAUGUCUCAUCCUCGGCCUUGGCUAGGGCUCGACCACUUCAACAAAGCCCCAAAGAGGAGUCGCUACACUUACCUGGAAAAGGCCAUUAAAAUCCAUAACUGACUUCCUUACUCAGUGUGUGCAGGGCGAGGGGCCGUGCGUGGGUGUGUGCCCCCUUUUACCAGCCUAGAACUUUGGUACACGUGCACUCUAUCCGAAGUCUUCAGCAAGAGGAUUUGCUGCUGAUGUUAAUUUUAUUUUGUUGAGGCUGUUCAGUUUGGCUUCUCUGUAUCUAUUGACUGCCCUUUUUGAGCAAAAUGAAGGUGUUUUUAUAAAGCUUGGAUGCCAAUGAGAGUUAUUUUCUGGUAACCACAGUGCAAGGCGACUGCCAGCGUAGCGGGGGAGCAGAGGCGAGGGCCGCGCAGCUGUGAGCCUCUGGUGUGUUCGCAGCCAGCGAGGCUGCCUGGCUGCCUUCCUGGGGCCGCAGUCACCGGCCCCUGCGGCCGCUCGUACGUAUAGGCUCGUCUGACGUAUUUCCCUCAGUUCUACUUGCCAUGACCUUUUGUGCAUCUGUAAAGGCAAAACAGAGAAACUCACAACCUAAUAAAUAGUGCUCUUUCCUUCACUGCGUGUACUGUUCCCCUUCCUCGGUCCCCCGCCCGCUGCCUGGUCUCCGUCCCCGUGUCCUCACUCCGCCAGCCGCCGCCGUGCUGCAGCCCGUUCGCCACGUGGAGGCCCCGAGCACCAGUACACACCAGUACAGUCCCGACAGGCAGUCCGGGGGCUUUUCUGACAUUGAGAGCCCCACCGAGUACGAUCACGGUGUCCUCUGCUGCCCCUUCUCCACAGUUGACUCGUGUGGGGGAAGCAGUUGCCCGUAGAGGUUCCUCGAGACGGAACAGACGGAACGAGAAAAGGAAGGAGAGCCUUUUAGCAAAGAGGGCAUGCUCACUAGUCAGUAAGCUGUUGACUUUGUAAAAAAGUUAAAAGGAAAAAAAAAAAAGAGAAAUGAAAUUGUAUAUUUAAUGAAUGAACAUGUACAAUUCGCCACUGGGAGGAGGUGACUUUGUUGGGUGCAUCUAAGUGACUCACCGAUGUCGAUAUUCAUUGUGUGUAGUUUUAUUUCAGUCCCAGCCUUGUUUCCUUUUAUUUUGGAGCUAAUGCCGGCUGCGUGUCUAGUUUUGAGUGCAGUAAAAUAGAAUCAGCAGAUCACACUUAUUUUUCAUCCUUUUCCAGGAUUUUUGUUUGUUUCUGUAGCAGCAAUGUACACCAACUCUUCCUGUAUAUUGCCUUUUUGCUGGAAAAUGUUGUAUGUUGAAUAAAAUUUUCUAUAAAAACGA